ensembl:lncRNA
CAUUUAGGCUUCUGAGGACGUCUUCUGAAAGCAACCCAAUUAUGUUGCUUUGUGAAUGUGUAAUUUAAUGUAAACAUUAAAAAUAUUCUACAAUUUGUAGCUAUUUGGCGUUUAUAAAUUUUAAAAAAAUAUUCUGAGAGUUUCAACAAAUAGAAGAGUCCUGGGGUGCUCUUGAUCCCUGCAAGACUCCAGUGGUUAGAAGAAUUCAGAAAAUGUUGCUCUAUUCUAUUCAGCGUUGAUCUGGGGGGUUUCUUCACAAGUGGCUCCCUCUGAAGCUGGUGGAGAUAGUGGCAAAGUUAGAGUUAGGUCCAGGAGUGGCAAAAAAAAAAAAAAAAAGGAAAGGAAAAAAAGAUCAAGAAGCCUUUCGGUAAGGAGGGAGAAGACAUUUGGUUGGAGAAACAAUACCGAAAAAAAUAAAGAGAGACUGGGUGGACAUACUAAGACCAGACCUAGGAGAAACAGGAGGAGUUCCAUGGUCUCUGGGUCCACAACAGGAAACCUGGAUUUUAAUUCAGAUUUGUGUGUGUGUGUGUGUGUGUGUGUGUGCCUUUCUUAGAAAGGAGAAAUCAGGGAAGUUACAAAGCCAAGGUCUUAUUAAUUACAUUUUUUUUUUUAAAUCUUGAAAGCACCUCCCAGGGUGCCUGCCCUAGCGGGAUGUUCAGGGAGAGCCUGAGUUCCCUUGUUUUAGGAGAAAAGCCCUGUCACUUCCUUCUCCCCUCAGGCCAGGCAGGCAGCUCUGGUAGCUCUCAGAUCCCUGGAAGCGAUACCCAGCUUCACGGUCAGGGGAACAAGGAGAGGAAUUCAGAGUUUCCUGGUAGGUGCGCUGACCCGCGAGGGGAAGCAGCCCCUUGGCAAAGCAAGGAACAAGAAUUGCUGGUAGGUUCACCCUCCCUCCCCAGAACCGGGGAGGGUUCUGGAGAGCUGGUGGUGUUCGGGAGAAAGGGGGGCCUUUGUGAAAAGUGUAACUAACGUCAGCGGGUUGCUCGGAAUGACUGCUCCCACCGCGCGUUCAAGUUCUCCUCCUGGAAACGCGAGGACUCUCUCUGCGGGACACCGAGGGCCUGUUAAUCUCAGCGGGUGAAGAGGACUGGCGUCUGGGAGACCCGCCAAUAGAAAAAGCCCCUGGGGCUGCUUGCUAACGAGCUCAUCCAUCCAGGCAGGUUAAAUGACCGGCAACUGGGUCGCCCGCAGACACAGCUGAAGGUUAGAGAGCCAAACCUGUGUGACCGUAACCGUGACGGUUUCUUCUACACGUGAUUCACAGUGGGGAGGGCGGGAGAAUAGACUAGAAGGGAGAGAAUGCCUCUUUUUCUUUCUUUUCUAGUAGUGGGUGUGGUAGAGCCUGAGCAUCAAGUCAGAAAUGUAUUUCUCAGAAAUCUAAAAAUAAAGUGUCAUAGAUUUAAUUCUUAAUAUUUCAAAACGAUUUUUGACUUGCACCAUCUAACUAAUUUCAUUGAUUAUAAGAUGGCAAGCCUCUUGUUAGUGAAUGAACAUAUGGUCUUGGGGGUGUUCCCCCAUCCCCCCAAUAUAGGCAGAAAACAGAACGCUGGGAUUUGCUGUCUGACAAGUAUAUGCGAUCUUUGGCAUCCUUUUUUCUGUUUAUGCAUUAAGAGAGGCCACAUGGAAAUGUGGAUGAGGCAUGGCAUUCCAAGAUGUCAAUAAAUACCAAACACGAAAAACUAAACUACUUGUUUGGGAUGAAUGCUGUUCUUUGCCUCUUGGUUUCAACUCAGAAAGUUGAGAAGGAAGGGAGGGAGAGGGGCAGGAAGGAAGCCUCUUCAGAGGGCAUGCUGUAAUGCGUUCCUGCUUUCCACGUGCACUCACUGGUGACUUUCUUCUUUAGAACUCUGUUUUUAUCUUUGUUCUCUUUAUACCCUCUUUCAACAUUUUUCAGCUUAAAAAUGGGUGAGGAGGCAUGAAGAAGGUGAAGUACUCAGUCUGGGUCCCCAUAUGACCCUGGUUUCAAGGAGAGUUUCUUUAGCCCUUGGGUAAAGAAUCCACCUGCCAACGCAGGAGACACAGGAAAUAUGAGUUCCAUCCCUGGGUCGGGAAAAUCUCCUGGAGAAGGAAAUGGCAGCUCACUUCACUAUUCUUGCCUGGAGAAUUCCAUGGACAGAGGAGUCUGGUGGGCUACAGUCCAUGGGGUCACAGAGUGGAAAUCGACUGAGCAUGCGUACUACACCCCUGGCGCAGGUUUAAUCCCCCACCCACUCUCUCAGGCUACUUCCUCUCCCAUUCCUGGGCUUUCGCAGGCACAGAGCCCCUCUUAGGGUGGGCAAGGAGCAGAAACACCAUUUGUUUCUGGCCUCAUGGACAUCAAGGGCCUCACAUAUGGCCUUUGGGCAUCAUCUCCAGAUGAGUACCCACAUGGGGUCACUGAAUUUGUGCAUACAUGUCAAGAGCAUUGGUUUAUUAAAGGAUCUUUAAAACACACCACCAUUCGAAUUCUUGUAACUGUUUUGGCAUGUCUUCAUUUCAAAAAUAGGCUCAGAGCGCUCACUGAAGUAAUUUAGGCCUCUUUCACCCUCUGUGAAAGUGCACCGAGGUGCGCUGUCAUCCGAAGCACAGAAGCAGAGAGUAAUCGUUCCUGCACACAGCACUAUCCUCGUUGAACUAGGGUGGGGUGUAGAAAUUCUUCGCCUGUGAAUAUAUAUAUUCGUCCCCACUUAGAAGCCAAAGGAAAGAUGACGGAGUCUCCGUCGUAGGCGCACCCUUGGUCUCCAGGAAGACUUUCUGCGCUCUGUUCACAGCCUUCUCCGGAGCCGCCAGUGGCUGGUCCCCGCCAGGCUCCAUCCUCCCUGCGCCCUGCGACCCCUCACGCAGGCCGGCGCGGGGUUUCCUUACUCUGUUCCCUCCUCCUCGAAGGACAGCCGCACCACCAACCACAGACGGCCCUUGUUAAAAGGAAACGUGACGAACCACGGCUGUUUCCCC